rnacentral:tRNA from 3 species
UGGGCUAUAGCCAAGUGGUUAAGGCAUCGGACUUUGACUCCGAGACCGCUAGUUCAACUCUAGCUAGCCCAGCCA